GAUGAACGCUGGCGGCGUGCUUAACACAUGCAAGUCGAACGGGAAUUAUUUUAUUGCAACUUCGGUCGAUUUAAUUUAAUUCUAGUGGCGGACGGGUGAGUAACGCUUGGGUAACCUGCCUUAUACAGGGGGAUAACAGUCAGAAAUGGCUGCUAAUACCGCAUCAGCGCACAGAGCUGCAUGUCUCAGUGUGCAAAACUCCGGUGGUAUAAGAUGGACCCGCGUUGGAUUAGCUGGUUGGUGGGGUAACGGCCCACCAAGGCGACGAUCCAUAGCCGGUCUGAGAGGGUGAACGGCCACAUUGGGACUGAGACACGGCCCAGACUCCUACGGGAGGCAGCAGUGGGGAAUAUUGCACAAUGGGGGAAAGCCUGAUGCAGCGACGCCGCGUGAAGGAAGAAGUAUCUCGGGAUGUAAAGUUCUAUCAGCAGGGAAGAUAGUGACGGUACCUGAGGAAGAAGCCCCGGCUAACUACGUG
rnacentral:rRNA from 1 species